rnacentral:rRNA from 1 species
UCCGUUUGAUCCUGGCGGAGGACGAACGCCGGCGGCGUGCUUAACACAUGCAAGUCAAGGGGAAAGUUUUCUUCGGAAAGCGAGUAUACUGGCGGACGGGUGAGUAACGCGUAGGCAACCUGCCCCUAUGACGGGGAUAACACCUGGAAACGGGUGUUUUACCGGAUGGGAGGAUUUUAUUGCAUAUUAGAAUGAUUAAAGUUGGGCAACUAACGUAUAGGGAUGGCCUGCGUUCCAUUAGCUUGUUGGGAGGUAACGGCUCACCAAGGCGACGAAGAUAGCUGGUCUGAGAGGAUGAUACCACACUGGGACUGAGAUACGGCCAACUUCUACGGAGGCACAGUGGGUAAUAUUUCGCAAAGCCCCAAAGGGUGACCAGCGACCCCCCUGAGCCAUGAAACAC